CCGGCCCCGGUUGGGGUGUCUCGCGCUGGGUGACAGCUCGCGCGUGCUGAUGAUGGCGGGCUUUGAAGCUGUGCUGCCUUUCUGUGAUGAUGACCUAAGUAGUAAUUAAAUUCCUGAAGAACUGCCAAGUCUCCUAUUGGCUGAAAUGGGGAUGUUCCAGGCUCUGGUCAUUGAGUUGCGAAAAAAAGACUGUUUAAACAUGACACAGUUAAAGC
rnacentral:lncRNA from 1 species